GAUGAACGCUGGCGGCGUGCCUAAUACAUGCAAGUCGAGCGAACAGAUAAGGAGCUUGCUCCUUUGACGUUAGCGGCGGACGGGUGAGUAACACGUGGGUAACCUACCUAUAAGACUGGAAUAACUCCGGGAAACCGGGGCUAAUGCCGGAUAACAUUUAGAACCGCAUGGUUCUAAAGUGAAAGAUGGUUUUGCUAUCACUUAUAGAUGGACCCGCGCCGUAUUAGCUAGUUGGUAAGGUAACGGCUUACCAAGGCAACGAUACGUAGCCGACCUGAGAGGGGGAUCGGCCACACUGGAACUGAGACCCGGUCCAGACUCCUACGGGAGGCAGCAGUAGGGAAUCUUCCGCAAUGGGCGAAAGCCUGAAGGAGCAACGCCGCGUGAGUGAUGAAGGUCUUCGGAUCGUAAAACUCUGUUAUUAGGGAAGAACAAAUGUGUAAGUAACUGGGCACGUCUUGACGGUACCUAAUCAGAAAGCCACGGCUAACUACGUG
rnacentral:rRNA from 1 species